UUUCACUUUUUGUUCUCUUCCUUUUUUGUAUGUAGACUACGGAUGAUUGUGUAUGUUGAGCUCCUUUGGUUCUGCUUCUGAAGGACCUCAUUUUUACACUUGUGUUCAAUGUAGGCAAAUGAAUAUGAUGGUUGCUUCUUGCAAUUGCUACCUGAUAUAGCUGUGAUAACAAAUGUGGAAUGGGAGCUUGUAGAUAUCUUUGAAAAUGAGAAUUAAACUGGCACAUGGACUGCUAUCUUGUAAAUAUUCUGUCUCAGCAGCAGAGAAGGAUGAUACCACAAAUGCUGCACGCUCAACACCCACCGCUGUGAAGUUGAUAGAAGAAUUGCAUUUGGCCAAUUGAAAAGAUUUGCUUAGCGAGAAUUACAACUAGCUACAGACAACUUUAAUGAGAAAAAUGUCCUUGGAAAUGGGGAUUUUGGAAAGGUUUAUAAAUGAGUGCUUUCAGAUAAUACUGAAGUGGCUGUGAAACGAUUAAAUGACUAUGAGAGUCCUUGUGGAGAUGCAACAUUCCAGUGUGAAGUUGAGAUGGUAAGUGUAGCUAUUCACAGGAAUCUAUUACGUCUGAUUGGAUUCUACUCAACACCAACAAAACGUUUGGUGUAUCCCUUCAUGUAGAACGCCUUUUGAUUUAUUGUAGCGAAUUUUUGAAGUCUUUUGAUUUUAUAUAUAGCUGGUGUAUGGAUGUCACCAGUAGCUCAUAUGUUUAAAUAGGUUUGUAUGAAAUUAUUAUUUUAAGUUGGAAUAUACUUGGUUUGUAUGCAAUGUUGAACUCAUUUUUUUA